UUUUGUGUGUGCUCCUUCUGUCAUCACAUGGAGAGUUAUUUUGCCUUUUAGGGUAAAAUAUAAAAACAAAUGCACGUCACAAUAUGAUGUGGCAAACGUUACCCAGAAGCCUUAGUGAUGUUGUUGCGAUGGUAUUAGCAUGCACAGAGUAUGCAACUCGCAGCUCUGCUGUGUGCACUUGUUCUUUUGCUUUCUCUCAUGUGUUCUGCUCCAUAUAUUUUAAGAGAGUUUAAUGUGGGUGUUCCAAUUCUAUCCCAUUAGAGUACUAUGUAUAUUAUUGUUACUAAACCUUGCCUUCAUAAUCAUUCCUAUGUAUGUGGUCUAUUGAAAAGCAAUCAUUUAUAUCUUUAGGAGGAUGAAUGGGAAGUCACAGAUCUAGAACAAUAAUCAACUUGAACUCAUGCUGCUAGCACAGGUAUGGAUUUUUAAUAUAAUCUCAGGCAGGGAAGUGCUUGUAGGCAUGUUUUCUCAGUCAGGAGCUGAGAGCAUAUGCACGAUGGCAGACACAAGGUAACUACCCUUUGGCUGGUUGAAAGAUGAAGUCAUUAUAAAGCUGGAUUUUAAACCAAAUGCAGUGCUGGCUGCUGUCUGGACUUACCUAAAACAUACACUAUAUUUUAAAAAGAAGGCUGAGAGUCACAGAAGUAAAACAAAUAAAUUCCAAAGUUGGUGUUUUAUAUUAUCAUUUAUCUGCAAUAAGUGAUAAUUGAUAUUCCAAAAAUAUACUUUGCUUUGAAUUCAAAUUGUUUAUUUUGAACAAUUAGUGAGUUCAUCUCUGCACAUGCCUAAAGAAGAUAAAUCAAUAAAUAAAAGAAUAAAAAUUAAAACUCUAUAUAAUAAACACUUGAUUUCUUAGUCCUGAUUUCUCUUUUAUUAUGAAGACCAGAAGCAGAAUGUUAUUCUAUUUUACCUAAAAAUAUAUAUAUGAUCUUUAGAA
rnacentral:lncRNA from 10 species